AAGCUCCUGGAAAAGAAGGAAUGGGAUGUGCUCAUCAGCACCGAUGCCACCGAAGCUCAAGGAUUUCUAUUUUAAGGAGGGGAUGAUCAUGCAAAUGUGGUUUAUCUUAAUGAGGAGGAUGGGGAUGUCCAUCCGGGUACGGGGAUAUCAUGGCAUAUACUUGGUGAAGCAAUGGGAGCACAAGAGCAACUCCAACUUCGUAGGAGUGCAAGAGUGAGAGACCUUGAGGAGGAGUAGUUUGAAUCUGAUGGUGAUGAGGAGAUCGUGGAUGAUGAAGACAUUGAGUAUGAGGAUGAUAGAGAGGCAUUGAGCAAGUGUUCAUUGCAUGAUGGUUGGCAUCAUAGAUUCAUACCAUCAAGUGAUCAAGUUAUCAUGCAUUUGCAUUCAUGCAUUUGUCUUUUGUUUUUAUUUGGUAUGUUAUGUAAGAGACUAUGA
rnacentral:rRNA from 1 species